UACGUAGGGUGCGAGCGUUGUCCGGAAUUACUGGGCGUAAAGAGCUCGUAGGUGGUUUGUCGCGUUGUUCGUGAAAUCUCACGGCUUAACUGUGAGCGUGCGGGCGAUACGGGCAGACUUGAGUACUGCAGGGGAGACUGGAAUUCCUGGUGUAGCGGUGGAAUGCGCAGAUAUCAGGAGGAACACCGGUGGCGAAGGCGGGUCUCUGGGCCGAGUACUGACGUGAGGAGCGAAAGCGUGGGGAGCGAACAGG
rnacentral:rRNA from 1 species